rnacentral:rRNA from 1 species
AUUGAACGCUGGCGGCAUGCCUUACACAUGCAAGUCGAACGGUAACAGGUCUUCGGAUGCUGACGAGUGGCGAACGGGUGAGUAAUACAUCGGAACGUGCCCGAGAGUGGGGGAUAACGAGGCGAAAGCUUUGCUUAUAACGCAUACGAUCUCAGGAUGAAAGCAGGGGACCGCAAGGCCUUGCGCUCACGGAGCGGCCGAUGGCAGAUUAGGUAGUUGGUGGGAUAAAAGCUUACCAAGCCGACGAUCUGUAGCUGGUCUGAGAGGACGACCAGCCACACUGGGACUGGGACACGGCCCAGACUCCUACGGGAGGCAGCAGUGGGGAAUUUUGGACAAUGGGCGCAAGCCUGAUCCAGCCAUGCCGCGUGCAGGAUGAAGGCCUUCGGGUUGUAAACUGCUUUUGUACGGAACGAAAAGACUCUGGUUAAUACCUGGGGUCCAUGACGGUACCGUAAGAAUAAGCACCGGCUAACUACGUGCCAGCCGCCGCGGUAAAAC